GGCAAGUGCGGGCCAGCGGCGCGGGUAAUAAGUAGGGGGGAAGCGUGGGCCGGAUUUAUUGGGCGUAAAGAGCUGGUAGGCGGUUAUGCAGGUCCGCUGUGAAAACUGGAGGCUUAACCUCCAGACGUCGGGGGAAACCUAAUGACUAGAGUCCGGAAGAGGAGAGUGGAAGUCCUGGUGUAGCGGUGAAAUGCGCAGAUAUCAGGAAGAACACCCGUGGCGAAGGCGGCUCUCUGGGACGGUACUGACGCUGAGACGCGAAAGCGUGGGGAGCGAACAGGAUUAGAUACCCGAGUAGUC
rnacentral:rRNA from 1 species